GUGGGGAAUAUUGGACAAUGGGCGCAAGCCUGAUCCAGCCAUGCCGCGUGAGUGAUGAAGGCCUUAGGGUUGUAAAGCUCUUUCAGUGGGGACGAUAAUGACGGUACCCACAGAAGAAGCCCCGGCUAACUUCGUGCCAGCAGCCGCGGUAAUACGAAGGGGGCUAGCGUUGUUCGGAUUUACUGGGCGUAAAGCGCACGUAGGCGGAUCGUUAAGUCGGGGGUGAAAGCCUGGAGCUCAACUCCAGAACUGCCUUCGAUAGUGGCGAUCUUGAGUCCGGAAGAGGUGAGUGGAACUCCUAGUGUAGAGGUGGAAUUCGUAGAUAUUAGGAAGAACACCAGUGGCGAAGGCGGCUCACUGGUCCGGUACUGACGCUGAGGUGCGAAAGCAUGGGGAGCAAACAGGAUUAGAAACCCUAGUAGUCC
rnacentral:rRNA from 1 species